UUUUUUUUUUUUUUUUUUUUUUUUUUUUUGUCUUUUUAGGGCUGUGCUCACAGCAUAUGGAAGUUCCCAGGCUAGGGGUUGCAUAGGGGCUGCAGCUGCCGACCUACACUGACCUAUACCACAGCCUUCACCCACUGAGCGAGGCCAGGGAUCGAACCUUCGUCCUCAUGAAUACUAGUCAGGUUCGUUACUGCUGAGCUACAACCGGAACUCCUGGCUGUUUCUUACACAUCAUAACCCUAAGGAAGUGAAAGACGUCCCCACAAAAACCUAAAUCCACGGUUAGCAGUGAAUUUCUUCAGUCUCCAAAAAUUUGGAAACAACCCAAAUGUCCUUCCAUUGGUGAAUGGAUAAACAAACUGAAACAACGGAUCACUACUCAGUAAUAAAAAGGAAACACACAAGAGCCCACGUGGAUCUGAACUGUGUCCCACCAAGUGAAAGUCAGACCCAAAAGACCACACCCUGUGAGAUUCCCAUGAUAGGACCGUUUGGAAAGGCAAGCACUGUGAUUCAGUAUCUCACAGAGGUGGUGAUUAUUCUGAUGACCACAUUUUUUUGUUUUUUGGAUAAAAUCUUUUGUCUAAUUACUCAAUGAAUUUUAUUAUAUUUAUAGUUGCACAGCGAUCAUCACAACCAAAUUUUAGAGCUUUUCCAUCGCAAACCCUCAGUGCAUCCCCUCCCCCUCAACCUGUCUCACUUGGAAACCAUAAGUUUUUCAAAGUCUGUGCCUUUAAAAAAAAAAAAAUCUUUUAUGGAAGUAAAAUUGACUUGCAGUAUUGCGUUUGUUUCAGGCAUAUGGCAAAGCGAAUCAGCUUUACAUAUGCAUAUGUCCGUUCCGUUUCAGAAUCUUUUCCCACACAGGUCACUACAGAGUCUUGAGUCGACCUUCCUUGGCUCUACAAUAGGUCCCCAGGACUCAUCCGUUCCAUAAACAGUAGUGUGUAUGUGUCAAUCCCAGCCUCCCAUUGUAUCCCUCCCCCCCGCAUGUCCCCUUUGGUGACCAUCCGUUUGGUUUCGAAAGGUCUGAGUCAGUCUCUUUCUGUUGUGUGAAUGAGUCCUUUGUACCCUUUUUUAUUAGAUUCCACAUAUUAUGAUCUCAUGUGGUAUUUGUCUUUCUCUGACUUAGUUCACUUUGUAGAGUAAUUUCUAGGUCCGUGAUGAUCACUUUUGUCCAAACUCAAAGAACUGGACAUCCGACAGUGUGACCUUUACCACAAAGGAAUGCUAAAAGAAGUGAAUCAAUUUGUUAGAAAGAAGCUUCUUCUCCAAACAGAUUGGCUUCCCACUCAAUGAACAUUACAAAAGAGACCUUUUCCAUUGGGUUUAACAGACACAGACCCAGCACCUGGGAGAAGCCCCUGCGUGGCUGGGGUUGGGGGCCAGAGAGCUGGGAAGACUUAGAUGCUGCCUCUCUGCCCUCCCAGGAUCAUCUCAGAGCAGAGGGAACACCCAGCUGGAGCCUGGGGGCUUUCGUGGCGGAGGGGAGGUGGGCAGGACUGGGGAGCACUUGCGCAAGACCAGUUCCAAAAUGGGGGGUAGGAAUGGGGUGUCAGCUAAGAGGUCACAUCCCAUACCUGCCAGCAGGAACUCAGCCAGAGUCUGGAUGGCACAGCCCCCAGGACCCUGUGGUGGCUCUUUGGGGAGCCAGAGGAACAUAAACAAAUAUCGAAGUCGAGCCUCCUUAGAUCACAUGGUAAAAGAGGAUGGAGAAAGGCUUUCUUAAAAAAAGACUGCAAAUAGCCCAUCAGAGGAGAAAAUGCCCAGGAGAGGUUAGAAUGACCACAGGAGCUAACAUUUAUGGGGUGCCUACCCUACGCCAGGCUCUGUUUCAAGUACUGGACACAUAUUGACUCAUUUAAUUUGCCCACAGCGCUAUGAGACACUUCAGCUACGCCCCUUCUGCAGGUGAGAAAAUUGAGGCCCAAAGCGAUGAAGUAAUGUACACAAGGUCACACACAGGGGAAGCCGCAGAGCUGAGGUUCGAACCUCAGUUGGCUCCGAGCAUGCCCCCUUAGCUGAGCCGCUGCUUGAUCUGGGUGAUGCUGACUGCAGAGAACUUCCAGAAUGCUGAGCUCUAAGUUCCGAGCACCUUUGUCUCCCUCCUGUGUUGCCUGCCUAUUAUACCCUUCCUCCUGCGCUUUCUUGAGUUCAAGGUGACACCUGCGUGACAUCGCUCAGCAUGCAAGUGCGCGCAGACACACACAAACACACACGCCAAGGCGGACACGGCACCCAUACUCCCACCCCCAGGAAAGCAAGGGACCCCAGAGAGUCAAAUGCCAUGGAAGAAUCAUGAGACACUACUUCUUAACAAAUAAUAAGUCUUUUCCAAAAGAGGCCAACACACACAGGCAGUCGUGGGAGCCAAAUGACGUCUGAGCAGUAUAGCCAAUAAAUUAGUUUCAUGUGCAAAAAAAACCCAGGUUGGCCCUGAGUUAAUAAAGAUCCCGCCAACAUAAAGAUCUCAUUACACAACAAACAUCCCUGGCAAGGAUCUCCUCUGCCGAAGCUGUUUUGGAUUCGAGCUUCUCCUGAGUCCCCUAGCAAAGAUUCCACAUCAAAUGCAGAAAAGAUGGAGCUGUCUAGACAUUCCCCUGCAUGUGAAAACCACGCGGCCCUCUCCUUGGGCACACAGAGAGGCACGCUGUGUGGAGCGCCCCCUACCCUGGCUGCUGCCAGCUAGCAGAACUGGGGAGAAGAUUCAGACAUAAUACUCGGGCUUCUUGUAGGAACUGGUUAUUGAGCUUCUAGAAUAUUCUGAGGGCUCUCUUUUUUUUUUUUCUUUUUAGGGUCACACCUGCUGCAUAUGGAGUUUCCUGGACUAAGGGUCGAAUUGGAGUUGCAGCUGCCAGCCUACACCACAGCCACAGCAACACCAGAUCCGAGCUGCCUCCACAACCUACACUGCAGCUUGUGGCAACACUGGAUCCUUAACCCACUGAUCGAGGCCAGGGAUCAAACCCACAUCUUCAUGGAUGCUAGCUGGGUUCUUAACUUGCUGAGCCACAACAGGAACUCCGAUUCUGAGGACUCUUAAUGAAAACUAAAGGGGAGGGCGGUGUUGUAGAGCCAGCAAUCCCCUGUGCAAAGUGGAGGCACUUCAAUGAUUCAUUGAUGAAAUGCAGACUGCUCCAAAUCCAACUUGGCUGUCAGACAGCCAGGGCUGAGCUGGAGCCUCCUUCUGGCAUGGCUGGAAAAGAAAGGGCUCCCUAAGGACACAGAUGAUGUCAACAAGGAAGGGGGGUGGAGAGCUAGUUAAUCUCAUCGAUAACAAGAUAUCGAUUCAGUAUUCAGAAAUAUUUAUUCAACACCUACUCUGGGAAGGACACUGGCUUGGAGCUGGGUGCACAGAGGUGGAUAAAGUCAGUGAGCCUCCCAUGCAAAGCCAGACGGAGCCUGAGGUUGCAGGUUCAGUCCCUGUCUUUGCUCAGUGGGUUAAGGAUCCGGCAUUGCCGUGAGCUGUGGUGUAGAUCGCAGACAAGGCUCGGAUCUGGCAUUGCCGUGGCUCUGGCAUAGGCCAGCGGCUACAGCUCCAAUUAGACCCCUAGCCUGGGAACCUCCAUAUGCCACAGGAGCAGCCCUCAAAAAGGCAAAAAGAGAAAAAAAAAAAAAAAACAACUAUGAAAGAAACACUGAGGUAAUCUAUGAGGUAAGAAGACCUCAUCUAAAGGGGUGGAAGGGAAAGCCCGUUCUGAGAAGGUGACAGGUAAGCCAAGACCAGAAGGAUGAUGGGCUCACCAGGGGCACACAAGGAAAAAGCUCCCCAGGAGGGGAGGAAGCCCACGCCAGGCCUCCAAGACAAGAAAGCCUUGUGUGGGAGGAACGGAAGGAAGGGCAUGGUAACUAAAAUGCAGACCACGGGAGGUGUGGCUGGACAAGAAGGCAGGAUGUGCUAAGGAGUCCAAAGCCUCCUCCAGAGGCAGCAGGAAGGGUCUGGAGGGAUGCGUUGGGGUUGUGGGAUGGAAAUCCUAUAAAACUGGAUUCUUAUGCUCAUUGUACAACUAUAAAUGUAAUAAAUUCAUUGAGUGAUUAAAAAAAGAGAUAAAAAAUAAAGUCAAUGAAAAAUAAAGGGAGAAAAAUAAAUAAAAGUUGAUACUUUUAAAAGAUCAUUAUGAGGAGAAAAUCUAGGUAACCCUGGUACGUAAUGACUUUUUAGAUGAAACACCAAAGGCACGAUCUGUGAAAGAAAUAAUUAAGCUGUACUACACUCAAAUUAAAAAUGUCCACUCUGUGAAAGAUGCCAUCAAGGGAAUGAGCAGACAAGCCACGAAUGGGAGAAAAUAUUUGCAAAAGACGCAUCUGAUAAAGGAUCGUUAACCAAAAUAUAUAAAGUACUCUAAGAACGCAACAAUGAAAAAACAAACAACCUGACUUUAAAAUGGGCCAAAGAUCUUAACAGACACCACACCAAAUAAGUGUAUGAAAAGAUGCUUCACAUCAUACGUCAUCAGGAAAAUGCAAAUAAAACAACCAGGAGAUACCUCUAUACAACUACUAGAAUGAUCAAAAUCCCAGAACACCGAAAACACCCAAUGCUGGCGAGGAUGUGGAGCAACAGGAACUCUUACUCACUGCUGGCAUACAAACUGGCACAGCCAUUUGGGAAGAGAGUGUGGAGGUUUCUAACAAAACUAAAAAUACUCUUACCAUACCAUCCAACAAUGGCACCCCUUGGCAUUUACCCAAAGGAGCUGAAAACAAAUGUCCACACAAAAAACUACGCACUGAGGUUUGCAGCGUCUUUAUUGGUAAUUGCCAAAAUUUGGAAAUAACGAUGUCCUACAAUAGGUAAAUGGAUAAAUAAUCUGUGUUAUACCCAGAUAACAGAAUAUUAUUCACUGCUAAAAAGAAAUGAGUCACCAAGCCAUGAAAAGACAUGAAGGAACCUUAAAUGCAUAUUAUUAAGGGAAUAAAGCCAAUAUGUAUUGCGUGACUCCAAUAGAAAAGAUAAAACUAUAGAGACAAUAAAAACAUUGGUGGCUGCUGCAGGUGAGGGAUUAAAAAAAAAAAACAGAGGACAGAUUAUUUUCAAUGUCAGUAACUCAGUAUGAAAAUCAUUGAAAUAAUAAUAACAAUAAUAAACUCAGUAUGACAUUGUGACGAUGGAUAUAUGUCUUUUGUUCAAAUCCAGAGAAUGUACCACACCAAGAGUGAACCCUAAGGCAAGGAUGAACUUUGGGCAAUUAUGAUGUGUUAGUGUAGGUUCAUCCUUGGUUAAAAAAAAA
rnacentral:lncRNA from 1 species